CGAAAUAUCUCGGCCCCCAUUUGUAAGUAAACUGUCUCUCUCCUUUUCCGCCCUCUCCCCGACCUCGACGGCGGAAGGUGAAACAAUGGCGGCGGCAAGCAGUAUGGCCGAGCUUGCAGACCUACGCCACAGCGGGCUCGAGUCUCUGCUGGAUCCAGUAGACAAUUCCCGCUCAGAGAGGUCACGGGUGGUGUUGACCAGCUAGAUCCGUUGGUUUUGAUGGCUGUUGGGCCGUCGGCAGUGGCACACGCCGACUCGUUGUGCGGGGUUGCAGCUGGACAACACGGCGGCUCUGCUGAGCAGAUCGAUUCCGGCCGCAAGAGGAAGCAGCCGCCUACUGAAUCCUUCGAGUCCACCAGAGAGUUGCACCCAGAUGCGCCAUUGUCGACCAGAAGGUAUACAUAGAAAAUUGAUUCUGUUCUUUAGUGCCUAUGUCUAAAAAGCCUCGUGAGCACUACUGCUGCUGUCAGCAAACUGGUCCUCUGUUUUUUUGGUAACCCUCCAUGCGUGCAAAGUGACCUGCAUAGUGUUUUCAAGGCAGAUUAUGUCGUCCAUGCGCGCAAUUAGCAUAUAGUAUAUUGUUUUCUGGGCAGAGCAUGUCAUGCAAAAGAGAAUCUUGGUCUGCUGUACACCAGCAAAAGCGAGUUUCGGGCCUGAAUUCCACAAAAUAGUGAAUCACAUGAUAAGGGGGAAAUAUAUGGUACUCCCACCCCUAGGGUGCUCGGGUGCUCCAAAACUCGGUAGCAUAUUUUUAAAUGUUCAAAAAAUUCUGAAAAAAAUCCAUCAUAUUGACACAUCAUCAAAGUAUGUUGUCAAAAAAUAUGAAAUCAAAAUUCGAAACAUAGCUUGAGAAACAUAAAUGACAAAUUCGACAGUAAAUAGUACACAACAUAUGUUGGGCUUUAGAUUAGGCCCAUUAUCACAUUGAUGCCCAUUUUGUCAUUUUUGUAUCUGGAGCAAUGUUUUGAAUUUUUUUAACGACAUACAUUGAUGUUGUGUCAAUGUGCUGGAUUUUUUUUCCAGAUUUUUUUGAACAUUUUAAAA